CGUCAAAUCAGCACGGCCCUUAUGUUCGGGGCUACACACGUGCUACAAUGGCAUGUACAGAGGGCAGCUACCACGUGAGUGGAUGCGAAUCUUCAAAGCAUGUCUCAGUUCGGAUUGGAGUCUGUAACUCGACUCUAUGAAGUUGGAUUCGCUAGUAAUCGCGCAUCAGCCAUGGCGCGGUGAAUACGUUCCCGGGCCUU
rnacentral:rRNA from 1 species